UAAGGAAUAUUGGUCAAUGGAGGGAACUCUGAACCAGCCAUGCCGCGUGCAGGAAGACGGCUCUCUGGGUUUUAACCUGCUUUUAUUCGGGAAUAAACCUAUUUACGUGUAAAUAUCUGAAUGUACCGAAGGAAUAAGGAUCGGCUAACUCCGUGCCAGCAGCCGCGGUAAUACGGAGGAUCCAAGCGUUAUCCGGAUUCAUUGGGUUUAAAGGGUGCGUAGGCGGCUUAUUAAGUCAGGGGUGAAAGACGGUGGCUCAACCAUCGAAGUGCCCUUGAUACUGAUAGGCUUGAAUGGACUAGAGGUAGGCGGAAUGGGACGAGUAGCGGUGAAAUGCAUAGAUAUGUCACAGAACACCGAUGGCGAAGGCAGCUUACUAUGGUUGUAUUGACGCUGAGGCACGAAAGCGUGGGGAGCAAAC
rnacentral:rRNA from 1 species